rnacentral:rRNA from 1 species
UACGUAGGUGGCAAGCGUUAUCCGGAUUUACUGGGUGUAAAGGGCGUGUAGGCGGGAGUGCAAGUCAGAUGUGAAAACUAUGGGCUCAACCCAUAGCCUGCAUUUGAAACUGUACUUCUUGAGUGCUGGAGAGGCAAUCGGAAUUCCGUGUGUAGCGGUGAAAUGCGUAGAUAUACGGAGGAACACCAGUGGCGAAGGCGGAUUCCUGGACAGUAACUGACGCUGAGGCGCGAAAGCGUGGGGAGCAAACAGG